rnacentral:rRNA from 1 species
UACGUAGGGCGCAAGCGUUGUCCGGAAUUAUUGGGCGUAAAGGGCGCGUAGGCGGCGCGGGAAGUCAUCGGUGAAAGUUCAGGGCUCAACUCUGAAUCGGCCGGUGAUACUCUCGUGCUCGAGCACUGUAGAGGCAGGUGGAAUUCCGGGUGUAGCGGUGGAAUGCGUAGAGAUCCGGAAGAACACCGGUGGCGAGGGCGGCCUGCUGGGCAGUAGCUGACGCUGAUGCGCGACAGCGUGGGGAGCGAACAGG